rnacentral:rRNA from 1 species
UACGUAGGGUGCAAGCGUUAUCCGGAAUUAUUGGGCGUAAAGAGCUCGUAGGCGGUCUGUCGCGUCUGCUGUGAAAACUCAGGGCUUAACCCUGAGCUUGCAGUGGGUACGGGCAGACUAGAGUGUGGUAGGGGAGACUGGAAUUCCUGGUGUAGCGGUGAAAUGCGCAGAUAUCAGGAGGAACACCGGUGGCGAAGGCGGGUCUCUGGGCCGAUACUGACGCUGGAGGAGCGGAAAGCGUGGGGAGCAAAACGGG